rnacentral:lncRNA from 1 species
GGGAGGCAGCACACUGGGGUCAGGAGUGGAGAUACUUAGGCUCCCCAGAGAAAUUAGUCACAAGUCUUAUCCCUUCAUCUCCAUUUACAGCCAUUUAUUUGGGAGCAACAUACUUUAAAUGAGUGAUAAACAAAAUGUCUCCCCACAGCCCCCACCCCAGCAUGUGUUCUGAAGUUCACAGGAAGGCUUCUCCUCAUUUGCUUUGGGGCCCGCAGGCUGCCUGCUAACAGCUGGGUCUUCCCAUGAACAAAUUAGACAGUUAAUGUUCCAGGAUGAAGAGGGCUUCGGGGAACAGAAUCUGCCGUUUAUUUGACUUGCUUCAUUAGACACAGUGCCAUCAUACCAAAAUUAGAAAAAAGAAGGAACUCAGCGGAAAUCAGCUACACAAGAAGAACCUCUCAGUUCUGAGAAUUCACAUUAACCAGUGAUUAAGAAAUAUUAAAAAGGGCUGAUAGUCCACUACGUUAUCAAGUUCAAAGCCUAAGAAAUAUUGAACAUUUCCACACAUGAAUGUGGGUACUAUGUUUAAUUUGAGAAUGGCCAACUGUCCUCGAAGUCUCAAUCUCUUUGGAGCCUACCAGCUCCGAGAGAAGUUUGAGGAUGCUGCAAAACCCUCCCCUGCAAAUCCAUCUACUCCUCCCACUUCUAUCCUAAUGGGUAUAGUUCUUGGCUGUGCUGAGGAUCUGUAAGGCACCAGAUGUGAAAGUAAGGAAGAAAGAUGGAUGUGGAAGAAAGUCACUGCCCAGAGAAUAAGGAGACCUGGAUUCUAAUCUCAGCUCUGCCAUUAACUAGCUAUGAAACUAUGGCUCAAAAGGGAAUAAGAGAUCAAGGCAAGCAUGGACAUCUUGUACGUGGAAGUGCAGACCAGAACUUGUAUCACAGCCAGUCAUAUCUGGUGCUUUCCAUGCUACUUUUACAUACAUGUAUCCUUAAAUUUGAUCCUCUUCUAGUUUAGUCUAAACUCUUUACUUUGUAACUUCCAAACCUAAAAGGUGCAGCAGACAUUGACAAUCUUAAUUCAUUUGUCAGGUCAUUUGGUUUCUUGGUUUCCUAAGGGACUGUAUCCUUCCUGCCCUGCUAAUGGGGAGACUUUUUGUUUUUUGUUUUCUGUUUUCCUUAAUAAGUGAGGCCAAGUGCUGUGUGUAACUGUGGGGUGGGCAAAAUUAGGAUUCCUGAAUCACUUCACUUUUUGUUGCCUUUCUCUUGGGAGAAUGGUUACCAUUGCAGAGAAGCAUAGUUAAAAUUGCUUUUGUGUUUCAUAAACGAAUUCAUACUUAGAUGUCAUUGACCAACAACUAAAUAGUAUAUCAGAGAUGAAAGGCAUCCUAGAGAUGACCAAAUCAAGCUCUUCAUUACUCAAAGGAGAAAAAAAUCCAGAAAGUGGAUGACAUAUGUUGAACUAGUGAUGGAAGUAGAACAGGGUAGUGUAUUUUCUGCCUCUUAAUUCUUCAUUUUUUACACUAAACCAGAUAUUAGGUAUAUGACUAGGAAGAUACGUGAGGUAAGGAGCAGAGGGUUUGGCUCCAAACUCAUCAUGUAGUCAUCCUCCUCCAAGCUCUGAGAGCUUCUCUCACAUGUUAAUUCAGAGGCAGUAACAAAAGAAUUAAUGCUCCUGAAGGUUUCUCAAUUUUAUCAUCUGGAAAGUGGAGUGAACCUUUGCAGAGUCCUUCUGAAGAGGGCUGACCUUGGACUGCACUAGGUUAUAUUCAUUUGCUAUUACUCAGCAAUAAAAAGUAAAUGCAACAAUAUAAAUGAAUCUUAAAAACAUAAUAUGGAAAGAAAGCAGCCAGACACAAAAGAAUACCUCCUGUUUGGUUUCAUUACCAUAAAACCUAGAACAGACAAAUGAAUAUACUAUGAUUUUAAAAAGAUCAUUAUGAUCAGAAAGCACUUGCCUGUUACAGGAAGGAGAUGGGGAUUGACUGGAAAGGGGCAUGAGAAAACUGUAUGAAAUAUUAUAUAUGGUUUAUAUCUUGUUUGGGGGUGGAUACAUAGCUGUGUAUAAUUGUCAACAGUCAUUGAACUGAGCACUUAAAAUCUCUGCAUUUUAGUGUAUGUAAAUUAAUUUUUAAAAUUAUUUUAAAAGAAAAGUAAAAGGAUAGAAAAAGAUAUACCAUGAAAACAGCAAUCAUACAGAGUUGGGGCAGCUAUACUAAUACUAGAUAAAAUAGUCUGUAAGACAAAAACUUAUUAGAGAUGAAGAGGGACAUUUUAAGUGAUGACAAUUUAUUCAAUAAGGAAGAUGUAACAAGAAUAACAAGUAUGUAUGUACCUAAUAACAAAAUCCCAAAAUACGUAAAGCAACAACUGACAAAAUUGAAGGGAAAGAUAGACAAUUCAACAAUAAUAGUUGAGGACUGGAAUACCUCACUUCCAACAAUAAAGAGAAAAACUGGGCAGAAAACCAACUGGGAUACAGAGACUUGAAAAACAUUGUAAACCAAGUAGAAUCAACACACAUCUAUAGAAAACUCCACCCAACAACAGCAGAAAAUACAUUCUUCUGAAGUGCAUACGGAACAUUCCACAGAAAUAUAUGAUGUGCUAGGCCAUAAAAUAAGCCACAAUAGAUAAUAAAAGACUGAAAUCAUGUAAAUUAGGCUCUAUGCCCACAGAUUUAGAAAUCAAUAACUAAAAGAAAUGUGGGGAAUACACAAAUAUGUGGAAAUUAAGCAACACGUUCAUAAAUAACCAAUAGGUCAAGGGAAAAAAAUAUCACAAGGAAAAUUAGAAGAUACUUGAGAUGAAUGAAAAUAAAAAUACAGCAUACAAAAAAAACCAUGGGAGGAAGUUAAAGCAGCAUUAGAGCUAAAUUUAUAGCAAUAAAUGCUUAUUUCUUUAAAAAAUAUCUCUAAUAAUCUAACCUUUCAAUUUAUGAAACUAUAAAAGAACAAAUGAAACUGAAAGCAAGCAAAAAGGAGAAAAUAAUAAAAUUUCAGUAGAAAUAAAUGAAAUAAAAAAUAAAAUACAUAAAGCAACAGUUGGUUCUUGAACAAAAUUGACAAAUCUUUAGCGAAACUUUAGCAAAAAAGAAGGAGGACUCAAAUUACUCACAUCAGGCAAGAAAGAAGAAACUUGACUACUAACUUUACAGAUAAAAAGAAUUCAAGGGGGAUAAAACGUAAAAAAAAAAAACCUCUAUUGCUAACAAAUUAAAUAAACUAUAUGAUAUGGACAAAUCCCUAGAAAGACACAAAUUAUUGAAACUAACUCAAGAAAUAGAAAAUCUAAAUAGACCUAUAACAGGUAAAAAGAUUGAAUUAGUAAAUAAAAACUUCCCACAAAGAAAGAUUCAGGCCUAGAUGGCUUCCACUGGUAAAUUCUCCCAAAUAUUUAAAGAAGAAUUAAUACCAAUUGUUUAUAAACUCUUUUAGAAAAUAGAAGAAAGGGGAACUCAUUCUAUGAGUUCACUAUUACCCUGAUACCAAUGCCAGACAAAGGCAUGAGAAAAAGAGAACUGCACACCUUUAUGCAUCCCUAUCCUUUAUGAAUAUAGAUGCAAAACUCCAAGAUGAAUCCUGAAACAAAUAAAAAAUUGUACCACAACUAAGAAAGAUUUCUUCCAAGAAUUCAAGAUUGGUUUAACAUCUGAAAAUCAAUUUAUAUAAUAUGCCACAACAAUAAAGAAAAAAAUCACAAUUACUUCAAUAGAUGCAUAAAAUAAUGGAUAAACUCCAACACUCAUGAUUAAACAAAAAAAGAAGAAAACGCUUAAACCAGGAACAAAAAUUAACUUCCUCAAACUACCAGAAACUUACAGCUAACAUCAUACUAAAUUGUAAAGAAUCAAAUGGUCUUCUUUCACUCUCAGAUGUGAAAAUCUCCUAUGUAGAAAAUCCCAAGGUAUCGACAAAAAACAAAAAAAAAAGCUAUUAGAACUAAUAAAUGGGUUCAGCAAGUUUGCUGGAUACAAGAUCAGUAUAGAAAAAUCGAUUGCAUUUCUAUAUAUUAACAAUGAAAAACCAAAAUAAAAUUAAGAAAAUUCUAUUUAUAAAUAACAUCAAAAGGAAUAAAAUUUUUAGGAAUAGAUUUAACAAUUUAAGUAUAAAAUGUAUAUGCUAAAAACUACAAAACACUGUUGAGUGAUACUGAAGAUUAAAAUAAAUGGAAAGAUACACCAUGCUUAUGAAUUGGAGGAUUUAAUAUCGUUAAGAUGGCAAUACUUCCCAUAUUAAUGUACAAACUUAAUGCAAUUCUUAACAAAACUCUUCUGGUGUUUUUACAGAAAUUCACAAGGUGACCCUAACAUGUAUAUAAAAAUGCAAGGGAUCCAGAAUCACUAUAACAAUCUUGAAAAAGAAUAACAAAGUUGAUGGAUUCACACUUCCCAAUUCCAGAACAUACUACAAAGCGACAGUAAUCAUAAUGGUGUGGUACUGGUAUAGGGAUAAACAUAUUAAUCAACAGAAUAGAAUUAAGAGUCCAGUAAAUCCUCACAUUUAUGUUCAAUCGAUUUUCAGUAAAUAGGCAAGACAAUUCAGUGGGCAAAGAAUAAUCUUUAACAAAUAGUGCUGGACAACUGAAUAUCACAUGCAAAAGAAUGAAUUUGCACCCUGACUUCACAAUAGACACAAAUUAACUCAAAGUGUAUUAUAGAUCUAAAUGUAAGAGCUAAAUUACAAAACUCUUUUCAAAACAACUACAAAAUUCAAUCUUCAUGAUCUCGGAUUAGGGAAUGACUCUUCAAAUUAGACACCUAAAGCACAGGUGAUAAAAGAUGGCUAGGUUGGACUUCAUCAAAAUCAAAAACUUUUCUGCUUCAAGGGAUAUUUUUAAGAAAGUAAAAAGAUAACCCUACAGACUGAGAGAAAAAUUUUGAAAAUUGCAUAUUUAGUAAGAUACUUACACCCAAAAUAUAUACAGAACUCUUACAACUCAAUAAAGACAAACAGCCCAUUUUUUUCCAUGAGCAAAUGAUUUAAAUAGAAAUUUCUCCAAAGAAGACAUAUGAAUGGCCAACCAAUAAGCACGUGAAAAAUGUCAAUAUCAAUAGCUAUCAGGGAAAUGCAAAUCAAAAUCACAAAGAAACCAGGGCAGAGUGCCAGAUGCUCCGUACCUUGAAAAGGUUCAAGGAAACUUGAAAGAUCAGAUGACAUUUUUAGUGUAAUCUACAAGUCACUCUUCAAAUGACUUGAAGAUGACUACCUGAAUAUAUACAAUAAAAGUUGGAAAUAUUCAUAGAUAAUAUAAAAUUGAGACAAAAAAGGUCUAGAAAGACUGCAAUGUCAAGAUAUGUAUCAUCAAUUCCUGUACGCUACAGUUAAAUUUUGUUCUGAGUUUUCUGGUGCCAAGAAAAUAGGAAAGGGGUGGGCAAUACAGUAAGAUACAAAGAAAGCUUUUAUUUCAUGACACUUAAUUCUAAAAGAAUAAUCAGGUGAUAUGAAGCCAAUUUCUACAGAUAUGGUCUCUGUCCUCCAAGAGCUCAUAACUCAGAGAAAAAUAAAUAUGCAAAUGAUUAAAAUCAGUGAGGUAACUGCUAUGAAGGACGUAUGUACAAGCUAUACUGGAGGCAUAAGAGAGAGAGUUACCAUUCAGAUGAGGUGGACUCAUGCUCUGAUGUGGUAACAUAUGAGGUAGAUUGGGUAGGAAGGUAAGGCCAGUAGAGGGUGGGAGAACAUUCCAAGCAUCUGCAGAGAUUAAAAUUACCUAAGACGUUUGAGAAAUUGUAAGUGGUCUGAUAUGGCUGCAGUACUGGAUGUGAAGAUAAAAUUAAUGAUAGCUGAGGGUGGCAGGAAAGCUGGGAUCUUGCCAUGUAUAGCCUUAUAUGUCAUGCCAAGGACUUUGGACUUUAACCUGUAGGCAAGGGGAACCAUUGACUGGCAAGCCCUGAGUAGAGAGUCUAGGCCUUAUAAUGGGAAGUUAGUUUCCAGAGAUAACCUAAAGAAUUCCUGCCUUUAGGUUUAAUUCCAAAAGGGUAGUAAUCCACAACCUAGCACUCCAUAACAGUGAUUUAUAUUGGAAUUACUCUCCAAAUUGGAAGAUAUGGUUAAUCUGGGAUUAUAGGACGUGUAAGCUCAAAGUAAUUUCCAUUGUAACUCGUAUAGCUUUCUACUCAGCCCAUGACAUUCCUACCUGGUUCCAGUUCUUGCAAUUCAAAGAGAACAGGUCAAUGUCAGUGUUAACAUGUGGGUAUGAAAACAGCAAGUACCCGCAUAUGAAUUGGAACUGGGCUCACUGAAGAAAGCAUGUAAUUGGAGUGGGAAUAAAAGCAUCCAACUAUUAUACUUGUGUGUGUACACACACACAUUAGAUAUACUGCUACAGAUAUAGAUAGAUGCCAGGUGUGCUGGUCACUUUGCGAAUCUCAUCACACUUUACCUUCAUGACAAUCCAGAAAGGUAAGUACUAAUCCCACUUCACAGAUCAAGACUAUUCUUACUUACAGAAGUUAACAGUGCUCUCUCACUGGCUGGAUUGGCAUGGAUGCCUAUUUUUGAUAGUAUUUCUAAUCCUUACCACUGAAAGCAUUGGAAUGACACUUCAUGUAUUUUUUUCAGUAGAGAAGUAAUAGAAACUAUUCCCCUUAAAUGGCAGAUGUGAUAUCUCAAGCACAAAAGCUUGGGUGACUCACUCAAGUCAAUAACAACUGUAGGACAGGAGCAUUUCCAGUUGGCCCCGUAUUCCUUCUACUUAGUCUUUUUUGUUCUCAUGUAAAUACAAAGUCAUAAAUUUGUGGGGGUUCAUAUUGGCUUUGUUCCUUUUCCCAUCUAGUUACCACAAGAGACCUUUCACUCUCCCUAGUGACACCAUUCAACCUCUACAUAACCCUACAACAAAUACCCACUUCACUACCAUAUCACAUGGCCAGACCAGUGGUCUUUUCCUUUAAUGUUACAUAGAAUAAUAUUAUUUCUCCAUCAAUUAACUCUGAUUGGAAUCAUGAUUAUCACUAGUUUUAUUCUUCAGGCUUGAUAGAGUACCAGCUGUGUCCAACAAAUGUAACAACAGUGGCUUCCAGCCAAGUGCAACUGAGGUUUUUACAAGAAUAGAUACUUCGUGUAUUCUAAUGACAAAAGCACAUAAAUGAGGACUAAUAUUCUGUCUGUGGCAGAGAGAAAAUCCUCUUGACUUUGAAGAGGUUCAAAGGCCCACACACACAGAAAACUGAGUGCUCUGUCAUGCUAUCUGGAUCAAGGGACUCCCCCAAGGGGCCGGCAUCCCGGCCUUAGAAAGAUGUCUGGGCCCUCAUCACUGAGGCCUUUGAAACCUUGUACCAGAAACCCCCAGGGGUGCCUCUCCAGCCUGCUCCCCUGGAACUUCUCAGGUACCCAUGACACAGCCAGAUAACCAGCCAGUUGUCACCUACCAUCUAGGACAGUCUCUUACUCCUACCUGUCCAUGCAUGCUCACUAAACUUGCCCUGCAGCAGAAGUAUGAAUGACUCUUUAUUAAAAUAGACAGGAAAAACAAUAGUGUCUCAUCUCACACCUGCACUAGGAAAAAAUCCUCUGUCUUCCUCUCUCCCUUCUGGGCCCACUCCCUCCAAGUCAUCUCAGAGCUGCUGCCAGCAGCAUGUAAAAUAUGAAUCUGACUUUUUGACCCAUCUGAUUAAAAACUGAAGUUGGAGCACCUCUGGCAGCAGAUUGAAGUCCAAACCCCUUCAAAAAGUAUUCAAGGGCCUUCACAACCUGAUUUCAACAAUAUCCUGAACAGUUUUCCCAUACACUGGAGCUCUGGCCUUCCCAGGUAACUCACUACCCCCUGAAGAUGUUGUACAUUUUCAUUAUAUAUGAUUUUUGUUACUAUUCAAUUUAUCUAGAAUACAUCACAUCCCCUAUCUCACCUCACUCACCUGACAAACUCCCAAUCAUUCUUUGAGAACUAGCUAAAAUGUUCUCACCCCUCUAAUGCUUUCCCUGACCAUCCCAGGCCAAAUUAACCAGUCCUUCCUCUGUGACUCUGCCUAUUGCACUUAUUCUGAUUUUCCCAGCUCAACAGAUGACAGAGCCAAGACUCAAACCCUGGCCUUCUGACUCCAAGUUCUAAGGUCUUUACUUAACCCCUUGCCUACUGUGCAAUAUUACAAAUGGAAUCAUGCGUCAAUUCUGAAUCCCGACUGGCAGGCCAAUUGUGGGUAGUCAGUAAACUUACAGUGGAUGAAUGAAUGAACAACAACCUGAAGGAAGCUUCUACUAUCCCCACCCACCCCCCACCACACACACACACACACACACACACACACACACACAGAGUUUAUUCUUCGAACUGGAAUUUGUAAAGACAGCUUGGUUUCCCAGAUGCAUCCAACUCAUCAGGUACUACAAAUUCUGUAACCAGGCCCCAAUUUAGGGAUACUACAACUAUGCAUCAUGUAAUCAUGUAGGUCCUCCAGUGAUACUCAUCUUGCUCAUUUGGCCAUGGAUAAAGGAGAAAAGAGAGAGAAGUUCCCUUUCAGCACCCUAACACAUCUCUUAAUACAGCCUCUAAGUCUUUGAGUCCUCCAGGAGCCAGCAGCCAAGUCCAAACUAAAAGCAUCACAUGUUGUUUUGGAGAAAGAAGCCAGGGUGUCCACAGUAAUAUAAAUACAGAGACAGAUAGGACGAGCAGGCCCUAUGGAGAGAGGCCAAGCCUGAGAAAGUCAAAGGGCUUUGAGCUCUGAAUUAUGCUCUGUCAAAGAAAAAAAAAAGUAGAAGAUAAAAGAGAAAGAAUAAACAAACUUCUUCAUUUUUACUUUUCACAAAAAAGUCUCUUCUGGAAGCAGCAAAUAAAAUCUUCCCAACUCACUGGGUGCUGAGUAGAGUGUUAAGACACUAGCCCUUGAAGGAAGAAUGAAUAAGCAAUUCAAAGUGGGCUUUUCUGCCCUAGGCUAAAUCUGAAAUCAUCCAUUUUGCCAGCAGUAUUCUGUCUGCCAACCUACCUGCAAAGAAAGGGGCCAUUUAAAACUUCACAUCCACCCGAGAUGGCUGUUGUACAAAACACACACUCACAGGCUCCCCUCAAAGCCUAGUAAGGAAGAAGGAAGAAGGAAAAAGCAAAGGAAAUAUCUGGCAGCUCCUAGACUUUAGGAAUUCCACAAACAAAGCCAUUGCCAACAUCUAUUUGACAGGAUGUAUAGAGAGUUCAUAAAGUAAGUGUUUAUAGAAAUUCCAAAAUGUUUAAAACUAUCUCUUGAUUUUUGAAGGUCACUGUAAUCUAGUCUAUUGGAGAAUGCUAUUGUAGAGUCUUUGGCUAUUGUUACUUAUACCUGCAUAUAUGAAAUCACCACUCCUAAAAACCACGAAUUAGAAGGCUGAUUUGUUUAAAGAAAUACUGUUGUCCAUGAUGGAAGAAGGAUGCUAACUCACAGAGAGAAUGAUGCUGCCUGUGGAACAGAGUCGGAGCUGGCUUUUAUGGAACCUAUUGUCACUUUGAUUAUACACUGUCUAGGACAGGACUGAGGCCCACAUAAUACCAAGCAUACCACAAAUACAAAAAGUGGCAUAGAGGGAAAAAGAGGUCAAAUUAAACAUCAAGGUAGCUAAAAGGAAAAUUGUGUCCGCUGCUCUAAUAUCACAAUCCCAAGGAGAACUGCAGACAUUUGUCCUCGAGUUCCUCAGGUUGCCAGUAAUGAUGUUUCUGGUGAUCUGGCUCAGAAGGCUGAGCUGAUGAGUGAUCACUCAGAAAUACUGAAUCAGGCAAUGGAAAUUCUGAAUCGGUGGGCUCUGGAGAAGGAACUGAGGGCGAGGUGACUCGGGGCCGGAGGGCUAUUAUGGACUAUGGACAAGCUGAAGGCAUGGGAAGCCUGACCAGUAGAUAGAGGAAUAUGAACUUGGUGGACAGGGAAAAGCAGGGACGUCAUGAACGAAAGACCACAGACCCUCUGUUCUAGUCCAUGGGGCCAGGCUGUGCUCCACUGCCUACUCUUGGAUUCCCCAAAGAAUGCUUUAUGUCCUUAUAAUAAAUCCACCUUUCCAUGGACAAAAAUGAGUGUGUCUCUGUGUCUUCAAACCUGAGAGCUAAAACCAAAAAACAUAACUUAUGAUGCUGUAGAAGAAACUUCUACCCCUUUGUACGCAUGGAGAUGUUUCCCAAAUCUACACAAUGAUAGAAAUAACUUGCUGCGUUAAAAAGUA